AUGUUCUCGAGAUUCUUCGUUAACCUCCAGGCUUAUGUGCCAUACUGCAUGCUUAGAAGAACAACGUGUCUACCAAGUUGACAUUUUCAAAUUCCCUGAUUUUUUCAGGUUUCACAGAACUUUGUUUUAUGUCAAGAUGGGCUGACACCAUGUCACCUGAUGCUGUCACUCUCUGGUCAGCUCUUUGCAAGGACAUGGUGCUAUGCAGCCUUCAGCUGCUGAAGAGGCAAGAUUACAUUUCUGAAUUACACUACACGAUUACAUUACAUUUGAAGAGGCAAGAUUACAUAUUUAAGUGUUUCAA